rnacentral:rRNA from 1 species
GAUGAACGCUGGCGGCGUGCCUAAUACAUGCAAGUCGAGCGAACAGACGAGGAGCUUGCUCCUCUGACGUUAGCGGCGGACGGGUGAGUAACACGUGGAUAACCUACCUAUAAGACUGGGAUAACUUCGGGAAACCGGAGCUAAUACCGGAUAAUAUAUUGAACCGCAUGGUUCAAUAGUGAAAGACGGUUUUGCUGUCACUUAUAGAUGGAUCCGCGCCGCAUUAGCUAGUUGGUAAGGUAACGGCUUACCAAGGCGACGAUGCGUAGCCGACCUGAGAGGGUGAUCGGCCACACUGGAACUGAGACACGGUCCAGACGCCUACGGGAGGCAGCAGUAGGGAAUCUUCCGCAAUGGGCGAAAGCCUGACGGAGCAACGCCGCGUGAGUGAUGAAGGUCUUCGGAUCGUAAAACUCUGUUAUUAGGGAAGAACAAAUGUGUAAGUAACUAUGCACGUCUUGACGGUACCUAAUCAGAAAGCCACGGCGAACUACGG